GAUCAUUACCGAGUUUACAACUCCCAAACCCCUGUGAACUUAUACCUUUUACCGUUGCUUCGGCGGGUCUUCGCCCCGGAACAGGCCCGCAAGGGCCGGCCCGGAACCAGGCGCCCGCCGGGGGACCUAAACUCUUGUAUUUUCUUUACUUCUGCAUGUCUGAGUGGAAUCAUACAAAAUGAAUCAAAACUUUCAACAACGGAUCUCUUGGUUCUGGCAUCGAUGAAGAACGCAGCGAAAUGCGAUAAGUAAUGUGAAUUGCAGAAUUCAGUGAAUCAUCGAAUCUUUGAACGCACAUUGCGCCCGCCAGUAUUCUGGCGGGCAUGCCUGUUCGAGCGUCAUUUCAACCCUCAAGCCCCCGGCGGCUUGGUGUUGGGGACCGGCGACCUCGUGCGCCGCCCCCGAAAUGAAUUGGCGGUCUCGUCCGCGGCCUCCUCUGCGUAGUAGCACAACCUCGCAACAGGAGCGCGGCGCGGCCACUGCCGUAAAACGCCCAACUUUUUCUUAGAGUUGACCUCGAAUCAGGUAGGAAUACCCGCUGAACUUAAGCAUAUCAAUAAGCGGAGGA
rnacentral:misc_RNA from 1 species